UACGUAGGGGGCAAGCGUUGUCCGGAAUCAUUGGGCGUAAAGAGCGUGUAGGCGGCCAGAAAAGUCCGCUGUGAAAACUCGAGGCUCAACUUCGAGCUGUCGGUGGAAACCGUAAAGCUAGAGUCCGGAAGAGGAGAGUGGAAUUCCUGGUGUAGCGGUGAAAUGCGCAGAUAUCAGGAGGAACACCCGUGGCGAAAGCGGCUCUCUGGGACGGUACUGACGCUGAGACGCGAAAGCGUGGGGAGCAAACAGA
rnacentral:rRNA from 1 species